rnacentral:sRNA from 1 species
UUUUCGCGUGAGGGAUAGAAGUGGAAAUCCUUUUUUGUUUAGAUGAAACCUUAUUUUUAGCCGAACGUUCUAACAAAAAAGAUUGCAACGGAUAGCCCGACCCUUG